UAAUAGUGGUUCAGUGUAAAGCAACAAUUUAGGGGCAAGCACAAUAUAGAUAUGAUUCAAUACAAAGUACUUCCUUCGUCCCAAAAUAAGUGUCUCCCUGAGAUUUUAAAUUGGGUUAACAGGUUAAGCAUCUUUUAAGUUGAAUGAUAGUAUGAUGCCAAAUAGAACAUGCUUGUUAGAAUGCAUAUUGAAUAAUACAAACUGAAUUUCAACUUGGGACCAUCCGAUGUUAACACAUAUAAUAUUUUUCGACUUGCAAUAUAAGUGUACCAAACCACAAGUGUUUUUUGAUUUGGAUAUACAUGGGACCAAAAAAUGUAACUAAAACUGCAACAUGAUAUGACAACUACCACAACCAAAAAGAGAGCACGAGCAUGCUCAUGUUUAAAUUGGAAAGAGAGAAAGAAAAAAAAAUUGACUGCGCCUAUAACAAAGAGGGAACAGAAGAGAGGAGGGAGAGGGGUGUGGGACCUUCCAUGGCGUCAGCUCUAGCCGGGGAGGGCCGGGGCAGACAUGCGAAUCAUGAGAAGGAGGCUCCUCUCUACCGGUGGAGAAGGAGCAGACCUCGAGAACCCUUCCUUAGUUCCUUUUACUGUCGGCGUCGUCCCGGUACAGAUCAGACAUAAUUUAAAUUCCCUUGCAUAGAAAUGCAUCAGGUUCAAUCUCCUUGAAUGAGGAAAAGUAGAGGUGGUACAGUACACAGCAGCCUUGAUAGCCCUUGUGUAGAAAAAAAAUAAAGUCUCCCAUCUUCCAACAAAAUAUAAAUUGCAACCCUACAGUUUUGACAUGUGCAUCAACAUUAAUGUUUGACUUAACCAAGUAAGUAGCAGCGCUACCCUUUCGACGCAGGUCCAUUUAUUUGAUUUUUUGGAACAGUUUCGACACACUGCAUGAAUAUUUCACAUCACUAUGCUAGUUGGAGUUGAUGUCAAUCAACAUAAGUGUUAUAUAUCAAAGUAAGUAAGCUGGCCAUUAAUAAAGCAUGAAGCUAAAGUAGAUCAAGUGGGCUAUCUUAACGCCUUCUUGAUUCCAACAGAUCUUGUAUCCAUUUUGAGGCCAUCAAGCAAUGAAUCAAACUCCUACAGUUAUAGCGCAACGUCGAUCAUAAAAAAUGUAGACGCGGGAUUUUAGUAAGUGCCAAAUCAUGAUUCUUUAUAGCUGCAAGUACCUCCAGCCAGCAAGCAUGCGCGCAGCCAAAUCAUGAAUCUUUAUCACCUGUACUUGCAAAAUCUGUGAAACAAGGAUGUUUUCAGUUAGUUGAAGCUAGAUAUGGCAUGCAUCUUGGACGACUACCACACAUACCAUGCAUCAAAGUAUGAAUUAGUAUGAAACUGAUCAUCAACUUGGUCCGAUUUCUUGGAAAUCCUUUGAACGAGUAUAUAUAUAUAUAUAUAUAUAUAUAUAUAUAUACACACACACACACACACACACACUCUAAGAAAAAGCAACAAGUUUUACAAUUCCUUUUUCAUCAUCUGUGUAAAACGCAAGAUGCAUGCCAAAGAAGCCCAACAGCUAGCUAGUUUAUACUAACAAAAAUAAAUCCUUGAGAUGUAGGAAUCAGGCUAUUGAGUAGUUGGAAAAAUCCAUGAAUGAUGGAUCCACAAACACUCGCAAGAGAUUCUUUUCCUGAUGGUCUCUUCAAGAGAGAUUAACUUCACAUCACCAGUGACAUGUAAUUUGGUAUGUUCAACUACGUAGUAAGUAUAUAAGUGAUAUUUUCUGUUGGAAAUUUAUCACUCACUGCUUCAUGUAGAGUAACUUGAGUUUGCUUGAAUCAAAAAGUGACUUAAUGAAUCAUAAAGAGGAAACUAAACAUCCAAACCAGUUUCGGUCAAUCAGGGGAUGUACAUGUAGAUUUGGGGGGUAGGAGGGGCAGGCGGGUAGCUCACCAUGUACGUCGCUCGUAAUCCCCAUCACGUGCAGCCGUGCAGGAGAGGAGGCAGGGGCUGACCGUCCUUGCUCCUCUGGCCGCUCUCCAUGGCUACGGUCCACUCCUGGGAGAAAAGAAGCACACGCGGGGCAAGCGCUUGGUGGUGGAGAAGCAGCCCGAGGUGGACCAGCCGCAGAUGUGCCGCCGUGGUCGCUAGGACCUCUCUGCUGCACCUCCUGCAGACUUCUGGCAAUGCCCUUGAGUCUACCGUGUCUAUGCCGGCGACGCCCUCGGUAGACUCGUGUCGAGUGCUUUUUUACCCGACCUAAAAAAAGAACAUACCUAGCGGUGGCCUGGUUACACAUUUCGUUUGGAAUGGUGGGGCAACAUCUAUCAGCAUGAAAAAUUAAUUAUCAGCAUUCUAUCGUAUGAAAGUAGGACCAAUCAGAACAUAAUAAACCACAUCUGAAGCUUGAAAUUUUAUACUUUCAAAGGAAAAUUAACUCUUGGUAAAAGAGCAACACUCAAUGGAGUAGGACCAUUAAGCAAGCAAAACUAUAGAGGCAAGCAUGAUGCAAAACUAAACCCCAUGGUUACAUAGAAUGACAUUUUGAAUAUGAAUCAACUAUACGUACACACUAAAAUUAUGCCAAUUGAUUCCCUCAAUGAUGAUAACAGGAUAUGCACAUAUUUUAGAAAUUAAGUAAUUCCUUAAUAUUCAGAACAUCAAAUAUUCAGAAACAAUAUAGGAAUCCAAUGAAAAUGAAGAACUAUGACUGUCACCAGAGACUCAUUUUUAGGAUGGUACGGAACACCGAUAUAUCGACUCAAAUUAGCAUUACUACUAUAAAGGAUAGCCAUAAUUCAGGAAAAAAACUUCAGAUAUCCAAAUAUACUUCAAAAAAAGAAACAUAACAUCCGUUGCGAGUGACCAGAAGAGAAAGACCAUGAUAUUUUAGUCGAGGAAGACCAGUUAAUAAAAAUGCUUGACAUCUUAAGAUCAAUAUCAGUGCAAUUUGAGUAGAGCAUUAACACCUAAUCAAGUAAUGGCCAUUUAUUAGCAACACCCUCUGCACCUAGCAACUACACAGUCAUCAAGCUGCACUGGCUAUGGCAGGAUUGUCAUAUGGUCCAAGUAUGAAUACCUGAUCACAUAAUGGGCUUUUAUUAACAUGGCGUAACCUAAGGAAUGCACGAACUCAAGAAAUAAAUAAAAAAACACAGAAAGCUUAUUGAUGCAUUUCCCUUCUGGUAAAACAUAUCAAGAGGCAACAUGAAUGAUUGAAAGGACCUGCAGAAUUUAAAUGGAAGCACACCUUGGAGGAUAGUAAAGUAGUGCCAGUAAAAAAAUUGUAGCUUUUCACGGACAAGGAAUAAAAUUCACAUCUACUGGAUAUCAGAUGGGAACAAAAUGGAGGAAAAUAGCAUAUAUUUGAUUAGGGGGGGGGAGAUUCUUACUGAGCUGAAGCCUAAAUAAUUGCCAGCCACCACAAAUCAAUCAAAUAAAAAAUUCAUAUUACUGGCUAUAAGAAUAUAAUGGAGGAAAUCAAAUACCAAAAUUGGAUUGUUGACCUACAUGCAAGAAAAAAACUAGAGGCAAUCAAAUAACAAAACUGAAGUUGAUUUUGAUAAUGUCACUAAAUAAGUAACUACUGACUGAAAAGAACAAGAAGCAGAAAUUACCGGUAGCAGCACUUUGCACAAGAAACCAUCUCAGUCUGCACUUCGCACAAAAAAGAGAACCCCAACUACAUCAAACAAUUAUUCUGCAAUGUUAAACCAUGCCCAAGCACAUGCUCGAUGGCUAAAUUUCCAAGUAACACAUACAUGGCAGCGAAAUUCAAGAAAAAUGAACUAUGCUCAAUAUCAUAGGUAAAUGUUUCAAUGAAAAGAAGAUCCCCUGCAGGCAUCUAAUUAUCAUGGCAUUGCCACUUUGUAAGAGAUGGCAAUUCAGUCAAGUGGCUUUCAGGCCACUUCCAUUCUCAAAAUAUCAAUGCAAGACUAAAAUAGAUAGCCAUGUCAAGUAUUCAUGUGCUAUAUUGAUAUGAAUAUGUUCAUGUACCAAGAUAAAUACUCAAAUAGACAGAUGAUCUUGCACUGAUACUGAAAUAUUUAAACCACACAAAUGCCCAAUAACAACCAGCCACAUGAAUCAGUUCAGCACUUGGCACACUUAUGCAAAAGAAAUUAUAAGUUCUGUCCAAAGCAAGACGGUUAUGGCUGUAACCUCAGCAACAUCAGUAGUUGAGGUUUUAGGGGCAACUGAGGGCCAUACGUAAUCUAAUAUCUGAUUAGGGCAUAGAAGCAGUAAGCUCAUGGAAAAAAUCAUUACCCAAAUGAUGGAUGCAUCAUAUCUGAGAGAGAAAGAUGGUACCUUGCCUGUUAAUUACAGAGGGAGAGGGGAGCAUCCUCUUGCAGACCAAACAGGCGGCCGGCAACGUCCGAGCCCAACUCGUUCGUCUCCUGCAGUUCCAUCGCAAUAGUCAGAGAGAGAGAGAGAGAGAGAGAGAGAGAGAGAAC
rnacentral:lncRNA from 1 species